rnacentral:rRNA from 1 species
UACGGGGGGGGCAAGCGUUGUUCGGAAUUACUGGGCGUAAAGGGCUCGUAGGCGGCCAACUAAGUCAGACGUGAAAUCCCUCGGCUUAACCGGGGAACUGCGUCUGAUACUGGAUGGCUUGAGUUUGGGAGAGGGAUGCGGAAUUUCAGGUGUAGCGGUGAAAUGCGUAGAUAUCGGGAGGAACACCAGUGGCGAAGGCGGUUGCCUGGAGCUUUGCUGACGCUGAUGCGCGAAAGCGUGGGGAGCGAUCCGG